UAGAAGUUUUAUCAUGGCUCAGAUUGAACGCUGGCGGCAGGCUUAACACAUGCAAGUCGAGCGGUAGCACAGGGGAGCUUGCUCCCUGGGUGACGAGCGGCGGACGGGUGAGUAAUGUCUGGGAAACUGCCUGAUGGAGGGGGAUAACUACUGGAAACGGUAGCUAAUACCGCAUAACGUCGCAAGACCAAAGAGGGGGACCUUCGGGCCUCUUGCCAUCAGAUGUGCCCAGAUGGGAUUAGCUAGUAGGUGGGGUAAUGGCUCACCUAGGCGACGAUCCCUAGCUGGUCUGAGAGGAUGACCAGCCACACUGGAACUGAGACACGGUCCAGACUCCUACGGGAGGCAGCAGUGGGGAAUAUUGCACAAUGGGCGCAAGCCUGAUGCAGCCAUGCCGCGUGUGUGAAGAAGGCCUUCGGGUUGUAAAGCACUUUCAGCGAGGAGGAAGGUGGUGAGCUUAAUACGCUCAUCAAUUGACGUUACUCGCAGAAGAAGCACCGGCUAACUCCGUGCCAGCAGCCGCGGUAAUACGGAGGGUGCAAGCGUUAAUCGGAAUUACUGGGCGUAAAGCGCACGCAGGCGGUUUGUUAAGUCAGAUGUGAAAUCCCCGGGCUCAACCUGGGAACUGCAUUUGAAACUGGCAAGCUAGAGUCUCGUAGAGGGGGGUAGAAUUCCAGGUGUAGCGGUGAAAUGCGUAGAGAUCUGGAGGAAUACCGGUGGCGAAGGCGGCCCCCUGGACGAAGACUGACGCUCAGGUGCGAAAGC
rnacentral:rRNA from 1 species